GCGGGCGUAGUUCAAUGGAGCUUCCCAAGCUCUAUACGAGGGUUCGAUUCCCUUCGCCCGCUCCA
rnacentral:tRNA from 1 species